GGCCCCCGCCCCUCGCGCUCUCUCGCUCUCUUAGCUGAUAAAGAAGAGAUUGGACGAUCACAUCGCAGAAUACCCACCGAAAGGAAUGAUGGAGGAGACGACCGCAUGCUUCGAUGCGAACGCCGUACCUGCGCGAGGGGAAGAUGUAGCGUAUUCACAAGAAGAUCAACAUCACCAUCAUCAUCAGCAGAAUGUUGCCGCUUCCACAGCGGAAGAGGUUGAUCGCCAUCGCCAUUAUCAACAACAAGAGCUAAUGGGCUUCACAGCUGAAGACGACGGCGUCGUUGAUUGCCGAAACAUCUCCCUUGUAACUCUGGAAGAAGUGAUUUGUCAGGUCGGCUCAGAUAACAAUGAUUAUAGCAAUAUGAACCAGUUA